UACGAAGGGGGCUAGCGUUGUUCGGAAUCACUGGGCGUAAAGCGCACGCAGGCGGAUUGAUAAGUCAGGGGUGAAAUCCCGGAGCUCAACUUCGGAAUUGCCUUUGAUACUGUCUGUCUUGAGUCCGGGAGAGGUGAGUGGAAUUCCUAGUGUAGAGGUGAAAUUCGUAGAUAUUAGGAAGAACACCAGUGGCGAAGGCGCUCACUGGCCCGGUACUGACGCUCAUGUGCGAAAACGUGGGG
rnacentral:rRNA from 1 species